rnacentral:rRNA from 1 species
UACGGAAGGCAGCAGUGGGGAAUAUUGCACAAUGGGCGAAAGCCUGAUGCAGCUAUGCCGCGUGUAUGAAGAAGGCCUUAGGGUUGUAAAGUACUUUCAUCGGGGAGGAAAAACAAAACUAAUAAUUUUAUUUCUUGACGUUACCCGAAAAAGAAGCACCGGCUAACUCCGUGCCAGCAGCCGCGGUAAUACGGAGGGUGCUAGCGUUAAUCAGAAUUACUGGGCGUAAAGAGCACGUAGGUGGUUUUUUUAAGUCAGAUGUGAAAUCCCUGGGCUUAACCUAGGAACUGCAUUUUGAAACUGAAAUACUAGAGUAUCGUAGAGGGAGGUAGAAUUCUAGGUGUAGCGGUGAAAUGCGUAGAAUAUCUGGAGGAAUACCUGUGGCGAAAGCGGCCUCCUAAACGAAAUACUGACACUGAGGUGCGAAAGCGUGGGGAGCAAACAGGGAUUAGAUACC